rnacentral:rRNA from 1 species
GCUCUCAAACCUGAGAGUCUGAUCCUGGCUCAGAGCGAACGCUGGCGGCAGGCUUAACACAUGCAAGUCGAACGAGAAGCCGGGCUUCGGCCCGGUGGACAGUGGCGCACGGGUGAGUAACGCGUGGGAACCUGCCCAUGAGUGGGGAAAAACGGUUGGAAACGACCGCUAAUUCCGCAUACGCCCUACGGGGGAAAGGCUUCGGCCGCUCAUGGAUGGGCCCGCGUCCGAUUAGCUUGUUGGUGAGGUAAUGGCUCACCAAGGCGACGAUCGGUAGCUGGUCUGAGAGGACGAUCAGCCACAUUGGGACUGAGACACGGCCCAGACUCCUACGGGAGGCAGCAGUGGGGAAUAUUGGA